rnacentral:rRNA from 1 species
GAUGAACGCUGGCGGCGUGCCUAAUACAUGCAAGUCGAGCGAACAGACGAGGAGCUUGCUCCUCUGACGUUAGCGGCGGACGGGUGAGUAACACGUGGAUAACCUACCUAUAAGACUGGGAUAACUUCGGGAAACCGGAGCUAAUACCGGAUAAUAUAUUGAACCGCAUGGUUCAAUAGUGAAAGACGGUUUUGCUGUCACUUAUAGAUGGAUCCGCGCCGCAUUAGCUAGUUGGUAAGGUAACGGCUUACCAAGGCAACGAUGCGUAGCCGACCUGAGAGGGGGAUCGGCCACACUGGAACUGAGACCACGGCCAGACCCCCAAGGGAGGCAAGAGGUGGGAAUCUUCCGCAAUGGGCGAAAGCUUGACGGAGCAACGCCGCGUGAGUGAUGAAGGUCUUCGGAUCGUAAAACUCUGUUAUUAGGGAAGAACAAAUGUGUAAGUAACUAUGCACGUCUUGACGGUACCUAAUCAGAAAGCCACGGCUAACUACGUG